UACGGGGGGAGCAAGCGUUGUUCGGAUUUACUGGGCGUAAAGGGCGCGUAGGCGGCAUAUUAAGUCAGCUGUGAAAUCUCCGAGCUUAACUCGGAACUGUCAGCUGAUACUGAUGUGCUAGAGUGCAGAAAGGGCAAUCAGAAUUCUUGGUGUAGCGGUGAAAUGCGUAGAUAUCAAGAGGAAUACCUGAGGCGAAGGCGGGUUGCUAGGCUGACACUGACGCUGAGGCGCGAAAGCCAGGGGAGCAAACGGG
rnacentral:rRNA from 1 species